rnacentral:rRNA from 1 species
GCACCUAACGGAUUAAGUAUACCGCCUGGGGAGUACGGUCGCAAGAUUAAAACUCAAAGGAAUAGACGGGGACCCGCACAAGCGGUGGAGCAUGUGGUUUAAUUCGAAGAUACGCGAAGAACCUUACCCGGACUUGAUAUCUAACAAAUCAUCUAGAGAUAGAAGAGUGUCUGCUUGCAGAAAUGUUAAGACAGGUGCUGCACGGCUGUCGUCAGCUCGUGUCGUGAGAUGUUGGGUUAAGUCCCGCAACGAGCGCAACCCACGUCAUUAGUUGCUAACAGUUCGGCUGAGCACUCUAAUGAGACUGCCUUCGUAAGGAGGAGGAAGGUGUGGACGACGUCAAGUCAUCAUGGCCCUUAUGUCCGGGGCGACACACGUGCUACAAUGGCAUAUACAAUGAGAAGCAAUAUCGCGAGAUGGAGCAAAUCUAUAAAAUAUGUCCCAGUUCGGAUUGGAGUCUGCAACUCGACUCCAUGAAGCCGGAAUCGCUAGUAAUCGUAGAUCAGCCAUGCUACGGUGAAUACGUUCCCGGGUCUUGUACUCACCGCCCGUCAC